rnacentral:lncRNA from 1 species
UUUUCACUUUUUUGUGGCAGCAAUCUUCACUGCCACAAGCACAGGUUGAAAGAUAUGUGCAUGAUGAAAUUUUGGGCCAAAAAGAAUAUCCAUGUGAGUGGUGAUGUCAGCAUGGUUCCCACUGUUGGCUCGGCUUGCGAAGAGAUACCAGUCGAUAACGGACAC